CAUUACACGACCAGCUCUCGCCUGUAACUCUAACUAGGCUUGGUGCUCCUUUCGCUUGAGGCCAGGUUCUGGCUUGUUUGGUGGUGGAGUUGUGUGUUUGUAGGCCAAUAGAACUCGACUACUAGUGGCACCUAGUAAUGUGCCACUGGUGAGUGAUGGCUUAAGGGAGCCUCUGCAGCUCGUGCAGAAAUUGGAAUUACGUUCAACGGUUUAUAUAUCUUUGCAUAGGAGAAAUAUUUCGGAUUUAUCUCUCACUAAUGACCGUUUUGCUCUCUCCAUAGUAUGAUUGAUUCGGCUGAAGAGGUGCGUAGAGUGCAUGAACCCUCGCAGACUAAAGAUUUUGAAAUAGUGUCACGCACUGAAGCUGGAAACUUGAUAUGAACUUUAUCAAAGGAUAAAUUUUCUUUUAAAGCGGGAUUUUCUACUAAAAGAACUAUCCUUUGUACAGGAACGCCUUUCGAAAUUAAAGUAGUUAUCAAACACAUUUUAGUCUGAAAUGCAAUAUUGUUGCAAACCUGACUGCACCAUUUAAAAUAACUGCAGCGUUAUAUUGGCAAUCUUGCUGUCAAGGUGAUGACUAGUAAUGAAGGGCAAAGUAAAGUUUCCUGAAACGGCAGCUUAAACUCCAGAUUGCUGCCGUGUCCUCCUGGGCCACCAAUUGUGGUUUGCAGGUCUCUGGCUGAGACUUGUGCUGUAACCUUUACUCGGAAGCGGAUAGUCCUUUGUACCCCCCUCCCCACUUAUGGUGCGACGUGACUAGACCAGGGAGCCUCUAGCCAGUAGUCAACAUCGUUUACACUGUGUACGUCACUGAAGCGUAUUGUCUGCUGGGUAGUACGGUGAAACCUUUCACAACGUCCCCACUAAUUAUUGUAGACGGUCAACAUUAAAGAUUUCUCAGAA